UACGGAGGAUGCAAGCGUUAUCCGGAAUGAUUGGGCGUAAAGCGUCCGCAGGUGGCUGUGUAAGUCUGCUGUUAAAUAGUGAGGCUCAACCUCAUAAAGGCAGUGGAAACUACACGGCUAGAGUGCGUUCGGGGCAGAGGGAAUUCCUGGUGUAGCGGUGAAAUGCGUAGAGAUCAGGAAGAACACCGGUGGCGAAAGCGCUCUGCUAGGCCGCAACUGACACUGAGGGACGAAAGCUAGGGGAGUGAAUGGG
rnacentral:rRNA from 1 species